rnacentral:rRNA from 1 species
CGAGCACGCGCGUGUGGCAUAUCAAUAAGCGGAGGAAAAGAAAACUAACAAGGAUUCCCUUAGUAACGGCGAGUGAAGCGGGAAGAGCUCAAAUUUGAAAUCUUCAAGGUUCUACCUUGACGAAUUGUAGUUUAUAGAAGUGUUUUUCUGUUAGUGGAGUGGCAAAAGUUCUUUGGAAUAGGACAUCAUAGAGGGUGAGAAUCCCGUAUUUGGUCAUUCCUUCCUAGCUUUGUGAUACACUUUCAACGAGUCGGAUUGUUUGGGAAUGCAGUCCAAAAUGGGUGGUAAAUUUCAUCUAAAGCUAAAUAUUGGCGAGAGACCGAUAGCGAACAAGUACCGUGAGGGAAAGAUGAAAAGAACUUUGAAAAGAGAGUUAAACAGUACGUGAAAUUGUCAAAAGGGAAGCGUUUGACACCAGUGUUGUUUUUUCCGAAAAUCAAUUACGAAUGUUUUGUUUUUGAGGAGUUAUGACUUCAUCGGCUUGCUCCUUUCUUUACGAAAGCUUUCUUAAUGCACUUUUCGGUUAACAAGUCAACAUCAAUUUCUUUUGUUGUAAAAGGGUAUGAGGAAGGUGGCUUUCUUUUCGGAGAAAGUGUUUAUAGCCUUGUGCCUCUGCAAUCGGAGAGAUUGAGGUCUGCAGCGUAGAUCCUUCGGGGUUAGAUACGUUUGUGCUAAGUUAUAGCUUUUCAUAGACAACUUGUUGACUAUGUUUAGUCUUGUAGCUUACUCGCUGAUGCUAUUUUACCUACGCUUAGGAUGUUGAACUCUAUCACACACAG